rnacentral:lncRNA from 1 species
UCAGGUAUGAAUAUGAAUAUGAAUAUGAGCAUGAAGCUGUUUAUGGCAGUUCUGUUUAACUUGCUUGUUUCUUCCAGCCGUGAAGAGCAAAAGAUUGACACUUUGCAAGAGAUGGAUGACUUCGAGAGGGUUCAAAAAAGUUUCAGUCCUGGUGAGAUGGAAAGGGUGGAGAAGAUAGAGCAGCUGGAGAGGAUGGUGUUUGACCUCCAACAGGAUGUCCUCUCUCUGAGGAAGAAGGUGCAGAGGCUGGAAUCCCUGUCCUUCCAGGAGGAGCCCCACCGGCAGCCGUGCGAGGUGGUGGAGCUCUUCAACGGCUACACCAAGGAACAGCUCAAAGAAACCAUCAGGUUUGACCAGAAAAUCAGCACAGCCUGCAAGACACUGCUCUACAAGCUCUUCACCUCUGACUACAUCCAGAGCCACUCCAUCACGGGGCGGAGGGGCAACACCUUCCGGGAGGCAAAGCCCAUGAUGGACGAACGCUGCAUCAAAAUCAUCAGGGUGCUGUUGAAGCAGAAGUUUGGAGAUCACCUCAGUGACACCGUGAUCACAGAGAAGAUACAAAAUGUGCAGAAAGCCCUGAGGCAGAAGUUUAAGACAGAAUGUCUCUGAGGCACGGGGGGUACUUGGUGGCUCCUCCUGCCAUUCUCAUGUGUGCACCUGAGCAGCCCUCCCGGGAAAAGAUGAGUCCAAUCUGCUGCUGUCCAGUUGAUUUCCCCCAAGGAGCCAAUCCAAGGGAACCAUGUGCUCAAACCUUUCACUGCCAAACCUCUGCCCAUGUUGAUUGAGUAGGAAUUCUGCCCAGCUUGGCCGAGUUUUUGCACGUCUGCCAGCACUCUACAGGUUCCUUCCUACCCAGUCUGUGUGUGAACCUCACUGCGGGUGCAUGUAAUUGUCUCUAUGACUUUUUGAUGACGUGCUCAGAAGCUGAGGUCCAGGUAUGGGUCAGUAAGUCAGCUGUGUUUAACCUUGCAAGGGGUUAGGGAGAAAUGUUGGCUCUGGGAUAGGGAGUCCAGCUGUGGAUGGAGUGUGUGUCACCUAACAGGGCUUCUCUCUGCAUGAUUCUGGUGUCCUCCUUCUGCCUGUGGGACAAUAUUUGUUCUCUUUGCUCUCAGUGAAUGUGUUUUACAAUUUCCUGCAGUAACUGAACAGCAGACUCAUAAACAGCACCAUAAAACUUUCAGAGAAAGAUAAUUUCAUUUUUUCCCCCUCUAUUUUAAUAUAGCUGUAUGGAAGAAUUGUCUUCACAUACAAAAACCUCCUGAAAAAUAGAAGUGGCCACCUGUGGAAAUUACUUUGCAUUAAUUUUCCUUUCAAGAGCAGAUUAUUUCCAUGGAGAAAUCCUGUGCAUUUUCAUGACACAAGAGUGAGGGAUGAAGGACAAAAUAUGGCCCACUGUAGUUACAUCUUUACUUCAAAGAUCAGACAUGCUAUGGACACAGUUACCAUAAUUUAAGUACAAUAUUUAUAUCCUAGUUAAGAAAUGCCAAGUACAACCAGAGAGUUUGCUGAGAGACUAUAGAGAAGGGCUAGAAAGACACAUCUUUUCCUAAAUAGUUCAGAGCUGGAGUUUGGGUGGCUUAAAAUUGUUUUUAACAUUAAAAGAAUAAGAUGCUGACACCAGUCCACUUAACAGAAGUGCUGCAAAAUGCCAAACAUUCUCUUUUACAAAGGCUUCUCGAACCAGAAAUUUGGUUUUCUAAGCUUAACUUUUAAAUUAUUCAGGAAAAGAAGUGUCAGUGGUUUUGCAUUAAUCAAAACAUUUGGUUUAAUUUAUAUGUUUUGUUGUGUUUUCAAGUAUUUAAUUUCUUCAGAGUUACAUGAGAAAUAAUAAGACAAAAUAAAUGUAUUGGAAAAACAAGGAGCUGUUUUGAA